rnacentral:rRNA from 1 species
CCUACGGGGGGCUGCAGUGAGGAAUAUUGGACAAUGGGCGAGAGCCUGAACCAGCCACGUCGCGUGAAGGAUGACGGCCCUACGGGUUGUAAACUUCUUUUGUCAGGGAGCAAUUGAGUCCACGUGUGGGCUUAGCGAGAGUACCUGAAGAAACAGCAUCGGCUAACUCCGUGCCAGCAGCCGCGGUAAUACGGAGGAUGCGAGCGUUAUCCGGAUUUAUUGGGUUUAAAGGGUGCGGAGGCGGAAUAUCAAGUCAGCGGGAAAAAUUCGGGGCUCAACCCCGUCGUGCCGUUGAAACUGAUGGUCUUGAGUGGACGAGAAGUAUGCGGAAUGCGUGGUGUAGCGGUGAAAUGCAUAGAUAUCACGCAGAACUCCGAUUGCGAAGGCAGCAUACCGGCGCGCAACUGACGCUGAAGCACGAAAGCGUGGGUAGCGAACAGGAUUAGAUACCCCUGUAGUC